rnacentral:rRNA from 1 species
AUGUUCGGAGUUUCUUACACAUGCAUGUCGAACGGAAAGGCCCUUCGGGGUGCUCGAGUGGCGAACGGGUGAGUAACACGUGGGUGAUCUGCCCUGCACUUUGGGAUAAGCCUGGGAAACUGGGUCUAAUACCGGAUAGGACUACGGCCUGCAUGGGUUGUGGUGGAAAGCUUUUGCGGUGUGGGAUGGGCCCGCGGCCUAUCAGCUUGUUGGUGGGGUGAUGGCCUACCAAGGCGACGACGGGUAGCCGGCCUGAGAGGGUGUCCGGCCACACUGGGACUGAGAUACGGCCCAGACUCCUACGGGAGGCAGCAGUGGGGAAUAUUGCACAAUGGGCGCAAGCCUGAUGCAGCGACGCCGCGUGAGGGAUGACGGCCUUCGGGUUGUAAACCUCUUUCAGUAGGGACGAAGCGCAAGUGACGGUACCUACAGAAGAAGCACCGGCCAACUACGUGCCAGCAGCCGCGGUAAUACGUAGGGUGCGAGCGUUGUCCGGAAUUACUGGGCGUAAAGAGCUCGUAGGUGGUUUGUCGCGUUGUCCGUGAAAACUCACAGCUUAACUGUGGGCGUGCGGGCGAUACGGGCAGACUGGAGUACUGCAGGGGAGACUGGAAUUCCUGGUGUAGCGGUGGAAUGCGCAGAUAUCAGGAGGAACACCGGUGGCGAAGGCGGGUCUCUGGGCAGUAACUGACGCUGAGGAGCGAAAAGCGUGGGGAGCGAACAGGAUUAGAUACCCCUGGUAGUCCACGCCGUAAACCGGUGGGUA